UCUAGCCUUGAUGCUCCUGUCUGCCAACGUGAUCUGGAGACCACUGGGUGCACUGACCUUGCUGGCAUCAUCCUAGUGAGCGCCAGCACCUGGAAGGAGGACCUUGGCAGUAUUGAGGACCUGAGGCCUAUGGAGACUUCACUGCAUACACAGGGUGUGGUGCUGUCUAUACUCAAUGGAAAGUCAAAGUUAAAAUAAAAGCCUGGGAUCCUGCCCAGCACAUUCCCUGCUGCUUCCUUGGGGGAGGACGUCUGACUGCCGUCCUGCACUGCCUGACUGCCAGAUCAAU
rnacentral:lncRNA from 1 species